UGCAAGUCGAACGAGAUCUUCGGAUCUAGUGGCGCACGGGUGCGUAACGCGUGGGAAUCUGCCCUUGGGUUCGGAAUAACGUCGGGAAACUGACGCUAAUACCGGAUGAUGACGAAAGUCCAAAGAUUUAUCGCCCAGGGAUGAGCCCGCGUAGGAUUAGCUAGUUGGUGAGGUAAAGGCUCACCAAGGCUACGAUCCUUAGCUGGUCUGAGAGGAUGAUCAGCCACACUGGGACUGAGACACGGCCCAGACUCCUACGGGAGGCAGCAGUAGGGAAUAUUGGACAAUGGGGGCAACCCUGAUCCAGCAAUGCCGCGUGAGUGAUGAAGGCCUUAGGGUUGUAGAGCUCUUUUACCCGAGAUGAUAAUGACAGUAUCGGGAGAAUAAGCUCCGGCUAACUCCGUGCCAGCAGCCGCGGUAAUACGGAGGGAGCUAGCGUUGUUCGGAAUUACUGGGCGUAAAGCGCACGUAGGCGGCGAUUUAAGUCAGAGGUGAAAGCCCGGGGCUCAACCCCGGAACUGCCUUUGAGACUGGACUGCUUGAAUCCUGGAGAGGUGAGUGGAAUUCCGAGUGUAGAGGUGAAAUUCGUAGAUAUUCGGAAGAACACCAGUGGCGAAGGCGGCUCACUGGACAGGUAUUGACGCUGAGGUGCGAAAGCGUGGGGAGAAACAGGAUUAGAUACCCUGGUAGUCCACGCCGUAAACGAUGAUAACUAGCUGCCGGGGCACAUGGUGUUUCGGUGGCGCAGCUAACGCAUUAAGUUAUCCGCCUGGGGAGUACGGUCGCAGAUUAAAACUCAAAGGA
rnacentral:rRNA from 1 species